rnacentral:lncRNA from 1 species
CUUUCUCGGCAGCGCCGUAGAGCGCGAGCAGACGGUGCAGCAUGGCGCACAGCGGAGGCCGCGGGCGGCCGAACCCGGCGUGUCCUUGGGCGUUUCCAGGUGCUUGAACAAAUAUUUUCUAAACACUUGUCAUGGAGAGUGAUUGAAACAAGCUGCCAGGACUACAUUUGCCAAUAACAAGCAUGUAGGUGGCUGUAGUGGAUGUCCAACUUUGGGAGCUGUGAUGUCUAAAAACCCUUUAUUGUUUUGGGUGCAGCUUACAUAUUGGAAGGUAAAAUGAAGGCCAUGAACAAAGUCAAGAAGCCAUAAACAGAAGCAAAUGGUGAAAAUUAAUAUCUAAUUUAAUAUUAAUAAGUUAUAUAUAAAUAAACAGUUAUUCU